ACCGUACAGCGACUAUUGUGUCGUCGUGUAGGAUCGAAUAGUACAGAAGCUUCGACUUAAUCGACAGUGAGGCUGGCGUGUAUGGUUUUCGCAGCUACGAGCCCUUUCAGCCCAGAUCUAUAAUUAUCAUCUAUAGUUCAACCAAUCAUCGAUCUCGACUCAAUAAAGUGCAUCGAAUUAAUUUAUCAAUAAUCCUAUUAUCUCUCCAAAUGCAAAAUCAUGGCCGUUUCAAGAGAAGGAGAAACACGACACGGAGGAGAAACACGUGAGGAUUGUUGGGAUUUGCCGCAUUGUCGCAGUGGCGCGUUUUGUUUCAAUUUUGCAGAUUGCUUCGUUUACAACGAUCGUCGACAUUCUCAUGCCGCGAAUGUUACUACUGGUCCUUAAUUAGGGACGAAAUCUGCAUAAAAGAAAUCUGAAUUAACGUUACAUAUAUUCGUGGCGAUGCAAACAAUCGGGGAUCUUGAUUGUUUGCAACUGGGAUGUAAUUCAAAGAUAUAGAAAUUAUUUCGAAGAACGUAACAAAGCCUUUUGAUAUUUAGGUGAUGCAAAUUAUAACCGAUCAAGCGUGAAAUACGAGAUUGCAUGUUGGCGUGAUUCAAUCUACCACGGAUAUUCGGAUAAAUAUGAAUUAUUAUAAAUAACACGUUUCAUAUUUCUCAGAACCUUCCAUAUGUACACGAAACGUUAUAAAUUUUCCGACUUUCCUUCCGCGAGAAUUACUUUCGACUUAUUCGAGGAAUCGGGUCAUCUGAAACGGCAAUGCAGCCACAAAAAUAAAAAUCGUGGAAUUUCGCGACUGUCUCGGUUGUUUUCAGCUCCACUGUCCCAAUCACAAACUCGACAAGACACCAAUACCUUCCACGAAAAAUUUUAACAAACUCGCAUCGGUACUCUAUUCCUUCUCCAUCCUCGACGUUUUCUGAACAAACGAAAGAGAAAAUACGUCUCGACGUGCAUCCAGGGCAAUGCAUAUCGUUAAAUUUCAUCCAUCGUAUCGAAUCUCGUCGACCGACGACGGAACGUUUCUUCGUUUUCAUCGUCGGCGUCGAUGAAAAAUCGUCGGUUAAUGGACCAAAAAUCUCUCGAAUCGAAUGUUUUGGCCAUCGAGGGUUCUACGGAGUUGAGUUGAACGGUAGGGGAGAGAUCGUGGUGAAAUCAAUUCCAACGGCGAUUGAAUUUCCGCCGAUGCUACAGAAUCAGCGGAACAUUACACGAAACAUUACGUAAAUCCGGAUAAGUUUUCGAAGCCUCUGACCGAUUACACGUGGGCCAUUCAACGAAACGAAAAGAGCCGACAAAUUUCAAUCAUCUCGCUGGACAAAGCUGAAAUUUUCUUGAUACCGAAACUUUCGAUUUAUCGCAUGUUUGUAUUACUUCCUCUACAUAUACAGCGGAUGAGAACGAAAUACGAAGAAGAAAAUUGUUCAAGUAAUUCGCAUAUCGCGUGGCGACUUAGUGCACGCUGCUGGUGCACAUCUGGAUCAAAUAUCAACCCUCUUUGAUUCGUUAUUAAAUUUUCUUUCAAUUUAGAACCAUCCAUAUUACACGUACAUCUGGUAUACUUGAAAAGAGCGCAUCGGAAAGGAUCUAUUUGUCGUCGACAGACAUAGCUAUAAAUUCGUGAUAUUUUGAGAAUAAAACCAUUUACGUCGAUGUACGCUCGGACAAAGGUAUUCGCUUCUCCAUUCCUUCAAUUCGCUGCUGUGGCAAGGUGACUUCCUCCAAUCGACUGUCACGUUUCACCGCGAGCCCUUAUCGAUCGUAUGACGGCGAGGGAGCUACAUAAUCAAAUUUACGUGCAUAAUGUUGGACACAAAGCGAGCGCGUGGAAAGGAGCAGUUGCCGAUCUGGGAUUAACGCAACAAUGGCUCGACGUAAGCAGCGCACAUGUCUCGAUGCGAUGGAACACGAAUUUCAACCUAAUAAAACGGAACUCUCUGCUUUCAGGCCCUCGGUUCGAUUCAGCGAGUUGAAGUUUUACGAUCUUCGUCGCCUUGUAACUGCGUCGGCUAACCCUGUCGAGGAAUUCGAGUCUUAAAUCGGAAUUUCAAGGUUGAACGAGUUGUUCGAUCUACAGGAAAUUAGUAGAAAAUUGCCAGGCAUUUUAUUUAUCGGUGAAUAAAAAUUGCGACUCGAUCACGAUAUGCGCGAUUGAGCAGAAUAAAUAAAAAAAAAAAAACUGUGCCAAUGGAGAAACAGUGUGGACGCGAUCAAAAAUGCCUGAAUAACUGAAAAGCAGUCGAUACAUGUAGCGCGUUACGCGCGACCGAUUUUAAUUGCGCUGAGCGGCGGAUUACACGAGUAGAAAAGCGGACCACUUUGUAUGGUCAUCGUGAUAAUAUUUAGAAUGCUAAUGAAUCCGGCAAAGUAGCAGAACGCGACGAACGUCGUUAUCACGAAUUAUAAUUCUCAUCGGCUCUUAAUUUGCUUGUUGAGUUUAUGUUUUUCUCUGGCAGUGCUAUUUGCUAUUUUUCGGCGAAAACAUUGCGUUUAUUCGUUAAUAAUUUACGUUAAUAAUUUCGUCCAUUUAUUCCGAGAAUUUAUACCCAUUUAUUCGGAGAAACGCUGUGACACGUCUAAAAUUUUGACCGACGAUUAUUCAACUGUUCCUUUUACACGAUUCUCAAGACUAGGUCUCGUGGUUCCUCUCGAUCGAGACACGCGUCGUGUCCCGGCCAAGAACAAUGCUUCGUGCAUUCCUCCGGUUUGGCACGUGUGUAAGAACACUUACACGAAACACGAAGAUGAGGCUGUAACGUGCAGAGUUAUAUAUAAACGGAGGGGCGAGAAAGGGAGAGAUCUCUCCGGUAAGAAAACGAAAAACCGGUGCAAAUAUUUACACCGUCUAUUUGAAGAGACGAUGGAACGCAUCAGCUGGGCCCAUCUCCUUGGAUACGAUGUAAUAAUUGGCGUAAUAACAGACGAUCACAACAAAAGCGAGAGACAAUCUCCACCGGAAGAGUUUCUUAUCGUCUAAAUACAAUGGUAGUCGUUUCUUGCUCGACGAUCAUCUUUCCAACGACCAAACUUUUUUCUGCGACAUCUCUGUCGUGAAAUUACACGAUCGUCGAGGUUCCUCUUUUUCUCCUUCUAUCGUCAG